GUAGUCCACGCCGUAAACGAUGAAUACUAGGUGUAGGGGUUAUCAUAACCUCUGUGCCGCCGCUAACGCAUUAAGUAUUCCGCCUGGGGAGUACGGUCGCAAGAUUAAAACUCAAAGGAAUUGACGGGGGCCGCACAAGCAGCGGAGCAUGUGGUUUAAUUCGAAGCAACGCGAAGAACCUUACCUAGACUUGACAUCUCCUGAAUUACUCUGUAAUGGAGGAAGCCGCUUCGGCGGCAGGAAGACAGGUGGUGCAUGGUUGUCGUCAGCUCGUGUCGUGAGAUGUUGGGUUAAGUCCCGCAACGAGCGCAACCUUAUUGUUAGUUGCUACCAUUUAGUUGAGCACUCUAGCGAGACUGCCCGGGUUAAACCGGGAGGAAGGUGGGGAUGACGUCAAAAUCAUCAUGCCCCUUAUGUCUAGGGCUACACACGUGCUACAAAUGGCUGGUACAGAGAGAUGCGAUACCGCGAGGUGGAGCCAAAACUUCAAAAAUCAGUCUCAGUUCGGAUUGUAGGCUGAAAACUCGCCUACAU
rnacentral:rRNA from 1 species